rnacentral:rRNA from 1 species
AUUGAACGCUGGCGGCAGGCCUAACACAUGCAAGUCGAACGAGUGGCGGACGGGUGAGUAAUGUCUGGGAAUCUAGCUUAUGGAGGGGGAUAACUACGGGAAACUGUAGCUAAUACCGCGUACCAUAGGAUGAGCCCACGUGGGAUUAGGUAGUUGGUGAGGUAAAGGCUCACCCAGCCGACGAUCUCUAGCUGGUCUGAGAGGAUGAUCAGCCAAACUGGGACUGAGACACGGCCCAGACUCCUACGGGAGGCAGCAGUGGGGAAUUUUGGACAAUGGGCGCAAGCCUGAUCCAGCCAUGCCGCGUGUCUGAAGAAGGCCUUCGGGUUGUAAAGGACUUUUGUCAGGGAAGCGGUACCUGAAGAAUAAGCACCGGCUAACUACGUGCCAGCCGCCGCGGUAAUAC